rnacentral:lncRNA from 1 species
CUCAUUUGACUUCAACACUUACAGAAUUGACUACUCAGAAAAGAGAGAGCUGUCUCUCAGGGAAAUAUGGAAAAGCAAUACUCCACAAACCUCAAGGGCAAGAAGAGUUCCUCCAAAGUUGUCUGAGUAUGGAUGCACUCCAUUACUAGCCAUCUGUGAGGCGAUCAAUACAGCAACACAGAAAGGACAGAGGAUUAGAAGUCUAACCUCCUGGCAAGCUACACCUGCUACAAUGCUGACUUCACCUCGUCAGACUCUGAUGUCACCUCUCCAGAUGCUGCCAUCCUCACCUACAAGAUAAGGAAGACCAACAACAUAAUCUCAAAUGUUCCAUGAAGUUCUAAAGUGGCAAGGUCCUGUUUUAGGCACGUGAAAUUAGACGGCUAAACAUUGUGCUUUCUAAAAUCCUCCCUUGUCCUAACAUUUCAAAGCUUCAUAAACAUA